rnacentral:lncRNA from 1 species
AGGUGUCCGGUGAUGGAGCCUGUAAGACACUCUGCCUCUGCUCAGGUGCCCGGUGAUGGAGCCUAUAAGACACUCUGCCUGCUUAGGUGCCCGGUGAUGGAGCCUGUAAGACACUCUGCCUGCUCAGGUGCCCAGUGAUGGAGCCUAUAAGACACUCUGCCUGCUUAGGUGCCCGGUGAUGGAGCCUAUAAGACACUCUGCCUGCUUAGGUGCCCGGUGAUGGAGCCUAUAAGACACUCUGCCUGCUUAGGUGCCCGGUGAUGGAGCCUGUAAGACACUCUGCCUCUGCUCAGGUGCCCAGUGAUGGAGCCUAUAAGACACUCUGCCUGCUCAGGUGCCCAGUGAUGGAGCCUGUAAGACACUCUGCCUGCUUAGAUGCCCGGUGAUGGAGCCUGUAAGACACUCUGCUUGCUUAGGUGCCCGGUGAUGGAGCCUGUAAGACACUCUGCCUGCUUAGGUGUCCGGUGAUGGAGCCUGUAAGACACUCUGCCUCUGCUCAGGUGCCCGGUGAUGGAGCCUGUAAGACACUCUGCCUGCUCAGGUGCCCGGUGAUGGAGCCUGUAAGACACUCUGCCUGCUCAUGUGCCCGGUGAUGGAGCCUGUAAGACACUCUGCCUGCUUAGACGCCCGGUGAUGGAGCCUGUAAGACACUCUGUCUGCUCACGUGCCCGGUGAUGGAGCCUGUAAGACACUCUGCCUGCUUAGACGCCCGGUGAUGGAGCCUGUAAGACACUCUGCCUGCUUAGGUGCCCAGUGAUGGAGCCUGUAAGACACUCUGCCUGCUCACGUGCCCAGUGAUGGAGCCUGUAAGACACUCUGCCUCUGUUCAGGUGCCCAGUGAUGGAGCCUGUAAGACACUCUGC